rnacentral:rRNA from 1 species
UACGUAGGGUGCAAGCGUUGUCCGGAAUUAUUGGGCGUAAAGAGCUCGUAGGCGGUUUGUCGCGUCUGCUGUGAAAACUCGGGGCUUAACCCCGGGCCUGCAGUGGGUACGGGCAGACUAGAGUGCGGUAGGGGAGACUGGAAUUCCUGGUGUAGCGGUGAAAUGCGCAGAUAUCAGGAGGAACACCGGUGGCGAAGGCGGGUCUCUGGGCCGUAACUGACGCUGAGGUACGAAAGCGUGGGGAGCAAACGGG